AUACGUAGGUGACAAGCGUUAUCCGGAUUUACUGGGUGUAAAGGGUGCGUAGGCGGUUGCGCAAGUCAGAAGUGAAAACUAUGGGCUCAACCCAUAGACUGCUUUUGAAACUGCGUGACUAGAGUGCAGGAGAGGAAAGUGGCAUUCCUAGUGUAGCGGUGAAAGGCGUAGAUAUUAGGAGGAACACCAGUGGCGAAGGCGACUUUCUGGGCUGCAACUGACACUGAGGCACGAAAGCGUGGGGAGCAAACAGGAUUAUAUACCCUGGUAUUCCACGCCGUAAACGAUGAAUACUAGGUGUAGGGGGUAUCGACUCCCUCUGUGCCGCAGUUAACACAAUAAGUAUUCCGCCUGGGGAGUACGGCCGCAAGGUUGAAACUCAAAGGAAUUGACGGGG
rnacentral:rRNA from 1 species